GACGCUUUGGUGGAGUGGUUAACACGUAUCCCUGCUAUUACGCUGGCAACCUGCAUUCGCAGGGGUCAGGAUAUCCUCUCUGAGGGCGUGAGUUCGAAUCUCACAGGCGUCG